CACACACACACACACGACACGCAUCUAAACCUCAGCCCGGUGUUCGCUGAAUUAAACUCCUACAAACACCACGGAACUGAAUUGACAACGUUGACAUUACUUAAUCCUUAAACCGGUGUUCGUAACAGCAGUACAUAACAGCCUACAACUACGUCUACAGCUCCCUAAAUACAAUGGUAAGCAGUUUUAAAGACGAAGCAUUCAGCAGCAUUCCCGUUUUUCUGACCCACAAACUUAAUAACUAUAUUUGCAAGCACGUGUAUUACAUGCACUUGGCAUUCAUGUUUCAAAUUUCAAAGUGGGUGGCAAUAUUUCAACUAAGUUUAACAGUUAGAGGCUUUGAAAGUUUAAAACUUAGCGUUGUCCUGAAGCAGCUUUUUGGGCUGCUUUCACCACUCUACCAGUGGGGGAGGGGUAACGCUGCAUGUGCGCUGCAGGGUCUUCCGGCAACACAGAGCUGCCCGUGGAUGCCUGUCUGUAAAUCAUGCCAGGGAAAAAUAAAUCCGCGAACCCACGCGUGUAUCGGCCAAUGCCGAUAAAAGUAAAAAACUCAAAUAUCAGCCCGAUAUAUCGGCAGGCCGAUGUAUCGGUCUAUCCUUAGUGUGUGUAAUGAUAACAUGAAACUUGGACAAACUGUUGAUAUAAGCUAUAAAUAAAGUGUUUUUUUUCCGUGCAGUCGAUCACCCGCUGCGUCUCCUGAAGGAUUACGGGCCGGCGGCGCUCUCUGUCGAGCUGACCGGUUUGACAUCAGAGGGGGGAAGGGCCAGCAGCCUUCUCCUCGCCUUCAUUCACAUGAUUGAUAGCAUGUUGGCCAGUGGACGGGACUUUGAUCUGGCUCAUGCUUACCUGGCUCUCUUCCUGAAGUUCCAUCUCCACUCCGUGUCACAGGACUCUGUUACCAUGGCAGCGCUGCUCUGCCUCUCCUCCCGGCUGGAGUCAGGGUGGGUGGAACUACAGGCAUCAUUUGACCAAUCACUGUGUCUGCUUUCAUACACCAAGAGUGCCCUGCUGUGAUACUCACACGCCGCUUUGUUUUUUAAUAAAAGUUGUUGUUGUUCUUUCUG